rnacentral:rRNA from 1 species
GAUGAACGCUGGCGGCGUGCCUAAUACAUGCAAGUCGAGCGAACAGACGAGGAGCUUGCUCCUCUGACGUUAGCGGCGGACGGGUGAGUAACACGUGGAUAACCUACCUAUAAGACUGGGAUAACUUCGGGAAACCGGAGCUAAUACCGGAUAAUAUAUUGAACCGCAUGGUUCAAUAGUGAAAGACGGUUUUGCUGUCACUUAUAGAUGGAUCCGCGCCGCAUUAGAUAGUUGGUAAGGUAACGGCUUACCAAGGCUACGAUGCGUAGCCGACCGGAGAGGGUGAUCGGCCACACUGGAACUGAGACACGGUCCAGACACCUACGGGAGGCCGCAGUAGGGAAUCUUCCGCAAUGGGCGAAAGCCUGACGGAGCAACGCCGCGUGAGUGAUGAAGGUCUUCGGAUCGUAAAACUCUGUUAUUAGGGAAGAACAAAUGUGUAUGUAACUAUGCACGUCUUGACGGUACCUAAUCAGAAAGCCACGGCUAACUACGUG